GACGUGCUAAUCUGCGAUAAGCGUCGGUAAGGUGAUAUGAACCGUUAUAACCGGCGAUUUCCGAAUGGGGAAACCCAGUGUGUUUCGACACACUAUCAUUAACUGAAUCCAUAGGUUAAUGAGGCGAACCGGGGGAACUGAAACAUCUAAGUACCCCGAGGAAAAGAAAUCAACCGAGAUUCCCCCAGUAGCGGCGAGCGAACGGGGAGCAGCCCAGAGCCUGAAUCAGUGUGUGUGUUAGUGGAAGCGUCUGGAAAGGCGCGCGAUACAGGGUGACAGCCCCGUACACAAAAAUGCACAUACUGUGAGCUCGAUGAGUAGGGCGGGACACGUGGUAUCCUGUCUGAAUAUGGGGGGACCAUCCUCCAAGGCUAAAUACUCCUGACUGACCGAUAGUGAACCAGUACCGUGAGGGAAAGGCGAAAAGAACCCCGGCGAGGGGAGUGAAAAAGAACCUGAAACCGUGUACGUACAAGCAGUGGGAGCACGCUUCGGCGUGUGACUGCGUACCUUUUGUAUAAUGGGUCAGCGACUUAUAUUCUGUAGCAAGGUUAACCGAAUAGGGGAGCCGAAGGGAAACCGAGUCUUAACUGGGCGUUAAGUUGCAGGGUAUAGACCCGAAACCCGGUGAUCUAGCCAUGGGCAGGUUGAAGGUUGGGUAACACUAACUGGAGGACCGAACCGACUAAUGUUGAAAAAUUAGCGGAUGACUUGUGGCUGGGGGUGAAAGGCCAAUCAAACCGGGAGAUAGCUGGUUCUCCCCGAAAGCUAUUUAGGUAGCGCCUCGUGAAUUCAUCUCCGGGGGUAGAGCACUGUUUCGGCAAGGGGGUCAUCCCGACUUACCAACCCGAUGCAAACUGCGAAUACCGGAGAAUGUUAUCACGGGAGACACACGGCGGGUGCUAACGUCCGUCGUGAAGAGGGAAACAACCCAGACCGCCAGCUAAGGUCCCAAAGUCAUGGUUAAGUGGGAAACGAUGUGGGAAGGCCCAGACAGCCAGGAUGUUGGCUUAGAAGCAGCCAUCAUUUAAAGAAAGCGUAAUAGCUCACUGGUCGAGUCGGCCUGCGCGGAAGAUGUAACGGGGCUAAACCAUGCACCGAAGCUGCGGCAGCGACACUAUGUGUUGUUGGGUAGGGGAGCGUUCUGUAAGCCUGUGAAGGUGUGCUGUGAGGCAUGCUGGAGGUAUCAGAAGUGCGAAUGCUGACAUAAGUAACGAUAAAGCGGGUGAAAAGCCCGCUCGCCGGAAGACCAAGGGUUCCUGUCCAACGUUAAUCGGGGCAGGGUGAGUCGACCCCUAAGGCGAGGCCGAAAGGCGUAGUCGAUGGGAAACAGGUUAAUAUUCCUGUACUUGGUGUUACUGCGAAGGGGGGACGGAGAAGGCUAUGUUGGCCGGGCGACGGUUGUCCCGGUUUAAGCGUGUAGGCUGGUUUUCCAGGCAAAUCCGGAAAAUCAAGGCUGAGGCGUGAUGACGAGGCACUACGGUGCUGAAGCAACAAAUGCCCUGCUUCCAGGAAAAGCCUCUAAGCAUCAGGUAACAUUAAAUCGUACCCCAAACCGACACAGGUGGUCAGGUAGAGAAUACCAAGGCGCUUGAGAGAACUCGGGUGAAGGAACUAGGCAAAAUGGUGCCGUAACUUCGGGAGAAGGCACGCUGAUAUGUAGGUGAAGUCCCUCGCGGAUGGAGCUGAAAUCAGUCGAAGAUACCAGCUGGCUGCAACUGUUUAUUAAAAACACAGCACUGUGCAAACACGAAAGUGGACGUAUACGGUGUGACGCCUGCCCGGUGCCGGAAGGUUAAUUGAUGGGGUUAGCGGUAACGCGAAGCUCUUGAUCGAAGCCCCGGUAAACGGCGGCCGUAACUAUAACGGUCCUAAGGUAGCGAAAUUCCUUGUCGGGUAAGUUCCGACCUGCACGAAUGGCGUAAUGAUGGCCAGGCUGUCUCCACCCGAGACUCAGUGAAAUUGAACUCGCUGUGAAGAUGCAGUGUACCCGCGGCAAGACGGAAAGACCCCGUGAACCUUUACUAUAGCUUGACACUGAACAUUGAGCCUUGAUGUGUAGGAUAGGUGGGAGGCUUUGAAGUGUGGACGCCAGUCUGCAUGGAGCCGACCUUGAAAUACCACCCUUUAAUGUUU
rnacentral:rRNA from 1 species